rnacentral:rRNA from 1 species
UCGCUCUGGGAGUCGCCUGCGCAGUAUCAGCUAGUUGGUAGGGUAACGGCCUACCAAGGCUACGACGCUUAGGGGGGGUGAGAGCCCAAUCCCCACCGAUGGGACUGCGACACGGCCCAUACUCCUACGGGAGGCUGCAGACGAGAAUAUUCCGCAAUGGGCGAAAGCCUGACGGAGCGACGCCGCGUGCUGGAUGAAGUGCCUUGGUACGUAAACAGCUUUUAUCAGGGAAGAAAUCAUUGACGGUACCUGAUGAAUAAGGGGCUGCUAACUCUGUGCCAGCAGCAGCGGUAAUACAGAGGCCCCAACCAUUACCCGGAAUCACUGGGCGUAAAGGGUGUCAAGGCGGCCGUAUUAGUCGUUCGUUAAAUCCCCGGGCCUAACCCGGGGGCUGCGAGCGAAACGGUACGGCUCGAGGGCGCGAGAGGUAGAGGGAACUCACGGUGGAGGGGUGAAAUCCGUUGAUAUCGUGGGGAACACCAAAGGCGAAGGCACUCUACUGGCGCGUUCCUGACGCUCACACACGAAAGCCAGGGUAGCGAAGAGGAUUAGAU